UACGUAGGGUGCAAGCGUUAAUCGGAAUUACUGGGCGUAAAGCGUGCGCAGGCGGUUUUGUAAGUCAGAUGUGAAAUCCCCGGGCUUAACCUGGGAAUGGCAUUUGGGACUGCAAGGCUUGAGUGCGGCAGAGGAGACUGGAAUUCCUGGUGUAGCGGUGGAAUGCGCAGAUAUCAGGAGGAACACCGAUGGCGAAGGCAGGUCUCUGGGCCACUACUGACGCUGAGAAGCGAAAGCAUGGGGAGCGAACAGG
rnacentral:rRNA from 1 species